CCUACGGGGCGCAGCAGUGGGGAAUAUUGCGCAAUGGGGGAAACCCUGACGCAGCAACGCCGCGUGCGGGAUGAAGGCUUUCGGGUUGUAAACCGCUUUCAGCAGGGAUGACUUCGACAGUACCUGCAGAAGAAGCCCCGGCUAACUACGUGCCAGCAGCCGCGGUAAUACGUAGGGGGCGAGCGUUAUCCGGAUUCAUUGGGCGUAAAGCGCGCGCAGGCGGACUCAUAAGCGGAGCCUUUAAUCUUGGGGCUUAACCUCAAGUCGGGCCCCGAACUGUGAGUCUCGAGUGUGGUAGGGGAAGG
rnacentral:rRNA from 1 species